rnacentral:rRNA from 1 species
AUGCUUAGGAAGAUGUUCCAAGGUGGUUCCUCUAAGAAGCAAGGACCCAGGAUUGCUAUGCGUGAUGCUGACGAGGAUCCACCAAGAGACGCUCAAGUACGGCAUUGCGAAUGGCCGUCGGAAAGUUUUAUGGACCGGGCGGGAAUUAAAGAAGAAUUCAAAGCAUAUUUGCGCAAUGCCAGUCUUGAGGAUUUUGAGGCUAACAGGUGCCCCCGGUAUCAUGAUCUCACAAGUUCAUUUGUGAGGAGGUUUGAGUAUUCAUCUUCGCGUAAUUCUCCUUCAGUCAUGUUUGAUCUCUAUGACAAAUCUUAUACCAUGGACUUAGCGGAUUUUACUUCUGCUUGCAAACUUCCAUCAUGGGGUAGUGUUAGGGAUCCCCCUAAAUCUGAAUUUAGAAACUUUCUUGCUAGUAUAACUGUGGGGGAAUCUAGAGAUAUAACGCAAGCUACCAUAGGGAGCAUUCACUUUCCUGCUAUACAUUAUUUUGCUCUCUUCAUCGGUAGAUGCAUAAAUGCUAAGGAUGAAGCAUGUCACAUGUGUGUCCCUGAUCUUAGCAUUCUUAGGAGUGUUGUGUUAGGAGACCAAUCUUAUCAUAUCGGAGCCAUUGUAGCUCGUAGGUUGCAUCAUAAUAGACAUAAUGGAGAUUUCUUUGGAGGAAUUUAUACAACCCGCUUAGCUCAUUUUCUUUAG